AGGACGAACGCUGGCGGCGUGCUUAACACAUGCAAGUCGAACGGAAAGGCCCUUCGGGGUACUCGAGUGGCGAACGGGUGAGUAACACGUGGGUGAUCUGCCCUGCACUUUGGGAUAAGCCUGGGAAACUGGGUCUAAUACCGAAUAUGACCAUGGGAUGCAUGUCUUGUGGUGGAAAGCUUUUGCGGUGUGGGAUGGGCCCGCGGCCUAUCAGCUUGUUGGUGGGGUGAUGGCCUACCAAGGCGACGACGGGUAGCCGGCCUGAGAGGGUGUCCGGCCACACUGGGACUGAGAUACGGCCCAGACUCCUACGGGAGGCAGCAGUGGGGAAUAUUGCACAAUGGGCGCAAGCCUGAUGCAGCGACGCCGCGUGGGGAUGACGGCUUCGGGUUGUAAACCCCUUUCAGCACAGACGAAGCGCAAGUGACGGUAUGUGCAGAAGAAGCACCGGCCAACUACGCGCCAGCAGCCGCGGU
rnacentral:rRNA from 1 species